rnacentral:rRNA from 1 species
GCGAACGCUGGCGGCGUGCUUAACACAUGCAAGUCGAGUGAAGGGAAUUCCUGUAGCAAUACAGGGGUUUUUUAUUCACGGCGCACGGGUGCGUAACACGUGGGUGACCUGCCCUAAAGAUGGGGAAUAACCCCCGCGAAAGCGGGGCUAAUACCGCAUAAAAUUCCGCGACAUUCGGGUUGCGGAUUCAAAGUCUUCGGACGUCUUUGGAGGGGCCCGCGGCCGAUUAGCUAGUUGGCGAGGUAACGGCNCACCAAGGCAAUGAUCGGUAGCUGGUCCUGAGAGGAUGAUCAGCCACACUGGAACUGAGCACGGUCCAGACUCCUACGGGAGGCAGCAGUGGGGAAUCUUGCGCAAUGGGCGAAAGCCUGACGCAGCGACGCCGCGUGGGGGA